UACAGAGGGUGCGAGCGUUGUUCGGAAUUAUUGGGCGUAAAGGGCGCGUAGGCGGUGCGGUAAGUCACCUGUGAAAUCUCCUGGCUCAACUGGGAGCUUGCAGGCGAAACUGUGGUGCUGGAGUAUGGGAGAGGUGCGUGGAAUUCCCGGUGUAGCGGUGAAAUGCGUAGAUAUCAGGAGGAACACCUGUGGCGAAAGCGGCGCACUGGACCAUAACUGACGCUGAGGCGCGAAAGCUAGGGGAGCAAACAGG
rnacentral:rRNA from 1 species